UACAGAGGUCCCAAGCGUUGUUCGGAUUCAUUGGGCGUAAAGGGCGCGUAGGCGGCGUGACAAGUCACUUGUGAAAUCUCCGGGCUUAACCCGGAGCGGCCAAGUGAUACUGUCGUGCUAGAGUGCGGAAGGGGCUACUGGAAUUCUCGGUGUAGCGGUGAAAUGCGUAGAUAUCGAGAGGAACACCUGCGGCGAAGGCGGGUAGCUGGGCCGACACUGACGCUGAGGCGCGAAAGCCAGGGGAGCGAACGGG
rnacentral:rRNA from 1 species